GGUAACUUGACGACAAAUUUCCAAUAGUGUAUAUUUAAAUCAUCAUUUAGCUAAUAGUUAGUGAAACAUCGUUUUUCCAAACUUUGUUUGCGCAUACAUAUUCGCUGAUUGAUAAAAUAUUUCCAGGUAGCAACACCUGUGCUACAGUAUUAGGAGGAUAAAGUACUAUGCAAAACGGUAAAGUUAAAUGGUUCAACAACGAAAAAGGUUUCGGUUUUAUCGAAGUUGAAGGCGGAGACGAUGUAUUUGUACAUUUCUCAGCUAUCGAGGGAGACGGCUACAAGUCACUUGAAGAAGGCCAGGAAGUUUCUUUCGAAAUCGUUGAAGGCAACCGUGGACCACAAGCUGCUAACGUAGUGAAACUAUAAUUACAAACGUACAUUAUAAUUGAUCAUAUACGAAUGCAAGAAAGAGGCUGAGAUAUCUCAGCCUCUUUCUU
rnacentral:sRNA from 1 species